UACUCCAGGUAAGGUAUAUUGUUACAAUCGGCUAUACUUUAGAAUCCGUGAACCAUCAACCCCAGCCAGAGAUACAGUAAAUAUAUCAGGAGUAAGGUAUAGUGUCUCCAGAAGUAAAUAUAUCAGGAGUACCCCAUGGCAAUAUAACAGAUCAGAUAACGACCACUUGUUUUCUUCCAUGUCGAAUUGGCCAAAGACUAAACAAGAUGGAUCCAGUGAGGAAGCCCAAAAAGGUCAGAUGUCCAGAAUUGAAACGAUGCAAGCCAGAUAGUUAUGGACCUAAAGACCUAGAUAAUGUAAUUCUGAACCACCACACUUUGAUAUUUCUCAAAUAACAGACCCAGAUACAUUUGAACCACCAUGCCCUGGUUUUAUGGCACGUCAGCUCCAACCGGGCUAUAUUGCGCCAGACAUAUGGUGAAAAGUAUGAGACAAACUAAAUAUCUUAUGGAAUUUAUGUACACAAAUAAAAGCAAAUAUCACAGUGUAUUAAAUAAUUAAAAAUAAAAAUCACAACUUCAUGUACACAAGUAUUUAAAAAUGAAAAACAAUAUGAUAUAUAUUUACAAUUAAAAUUGUUUAUAAAAAUUUGUCUCUUUUAAAAAAUCUAGUAGUUUCGAAUAUAGACCCGUUUGGGCAAAUAAAUGAUUUAAUGAU